AGUGAACGCUGGCGGUAUGCCUAACACAUGCAAGUCGAACGGCAGCACAGUAAGCUCUUUCUCUUACGGUUGGCGAGUGACGGACGGGUGAGGCAUACAUCGGCAUCUUCUUUUUCUUGGGGGAUAUCGUAGGACAACUUCUGCUAAUACCGCAUACUACCUACGGGUUAAAUCAAAGGUUCUUCAGACCUUUCCCGUCUCUUUUAGCUGAUGCCGGAUUAGCUAGUUGGCUGGGUAAAGGCCCACCAAGGCGACGAUCCGUAGCUGACCUGAGAGGAUGAUCAGCCACACUGGAACUGAGACACGGUCCAGACUCCUACGGGAGGCAGCAGUGGGGAAUAUUGGACAAUGGGCGAAAGCCUGAUGCAGCAAUGCCGCGUGGGUGAAGAAGGUCUUCGGGUUGUAAAGCCCUGUUGUUGGGAAAGAAAAGAUGUAGAUGAAAACGCCGAUGUCUUGACGGUACCCAAAGAAUAAGCAACGGCUAACUUCGUG
rnacentral:rRNA from 1 species